UGAGUGACGGGAGUCUGUUUGUUCUCUGUCUGUGCGUGAACUUUUUUUCUUCUUAUUUGCCAACUUUAUACAUGCAAUUACUUAUACAUCUACGACUAUUGAAGUGGUUUUGUGUCUGUGUGUGAUUCCUACUAAAUGCCCAGCGGAGUCUCGAGAAUUAGGUUACUACGCCAACUACCCGCGCAACUGUUACACGCCUUUCUGACCGUAAUGAGGCGACGGAGGAGAGGGAGAGUGAGAGGACCUUCAUCCAUCACUGAGGGGGAGGGGCGAGGACUGACACAGCUUCUAUCUGUCCAUCUCGCGUGUGGGGAACCAAGCGUUGGACAAACUCUCUCCUCCUCUGCUCGUCUGCUGCUGAAGUCCUCCUGCCGCAGUAAGCAACGCAAAGUCUGCUGGUCGCCGGGGUUUGUCUCCAUGCUGCGAUAAAGACAUGGAGGACGGAGGACGAAGAGUGACUCUCAUGUAACUGCCUUGACGUCCCUAGUUACCUGACACGUUGAAACAGGUUCCGGGUUCCUGGACCUGAGCCGUGACCCAAGACUCGGGAACCGGAUCAUGAUGACCCAACAGAAUAAAGUGAUCUGUUGUGAUCUUGCUGGGGAGGUGGGUAUAACGACAACGAUAAGAAACACGGUGGUAAAGAGCCCAUCACGGACCACAGGCCUCAGCGGCCUCGCGCCUCCGGCACUCGGCGACCUCGCCGCGCAUGAGGCAGUGGCACUGCAGGACGACGUCUCUGUGACCCUUGAUGUGAAGGGUUUGCCUGACCCACACGAUGCUGACGCCGUGGUUCCACUGCAGAUCCUCCAGCAGGCGGUCACUGGGCCCUGCGAGGCGGGCCAUGAAUCUGUGAGGCAUGGUGAGGCUACGGUAAGCGUAGGAAGCUGUGGCGGCCGCUGGUGAAGGGACCUCGCCUUGACGGGAAUCAUCCCUGCCUCUGGCACUUUGACUGCACCGAGAGGCUUCCCCUAGCUCAGGGGCGCCUCGUGUGCAACAGUGCCAUCCAUAUCAGUGGCUUCCUCAACCUUGUUGACAUCGUCAAGGUCUUUCAUCGCAAACACCCUUUCCGGAAGAGCCUUCCAUUCAUUGUAGGUGUUAUCAUCAUUGUCCACCGAAAACACCUUUUGCAUGUAAAGCUUCCAUUCAUUGUAGUGUCAUCAUCAUUGGCAGAGUCUUCAUCAUCAUCUUCAACAGAAAACACCUUUUCCAUAUAAACCUUCCAUUUGUUGUAGGUGGCGGCAUCAUUGUCUAUGUUUUCUUCAUUCCAUUCAUUGGCCCGUCGGAAUCAAGUGAUGUAUAAAAGAAGAAAGAAAUAGAUAGGUGUACAAAUAAACCAAUUAGCAUUAUCACACAACUAUAAAAUGAGAGAGCACCUACACGUUAAUAUGGAAAUAGACAAAAUAAUAGGGGAAAAAGAGAGGAUAGACAGUGAUAAUAGAUAGAUAGAUAGAAUAAGAGGAGAAAGAUACACAGUGAGAACGGAAAUAAGUGGAAGGGAAAAUCAACCGGUCCAGAUUUUGUGAAAGAAAAGGCGGAUGAGCUGGGGAGGGAACAAGGAGGAGGGAUACAGGCUUUGGUUUAGUAGGAGGGAGGAGAAGGAGGAGGGGGAAGAUGAGCAGGAGGAAGAAUAAUAAAAAGGGAGAGAAAAAAGGACAAUGGUGAGGAAGAGGGAAUGAAAGAAAAGUGAACUAGGAGGAACAGUAGAUAAAGGAGGAGGAGGAGGAGGAAUAAAACUUUCCUUCAGGUCAACCUCAUCAGGUCUCUUGGUGACUCACGCGGCCAUCAUUGCUUUUCCUCCUCCUCUUCUUCCUUCUCCUCUUCCUCCUACUCCCCCUUCUUCUUCUCUUCCUUUUCCUAUUCUUUAAUUUUCUCCAGCUCUAUUUUUUCUUCGUUUUCCUUCUUCACCCUCCUCCUCUUACUCUUCUUUCUCCUACUCUUCCUUUUCUUUCUCCUCCCCUUACUCUUAUUUCUCCUCUUCUUCCAUUUUCCCUGCUCAAUGUCUUCCUCUUCCUCUUCCUUCUCCUC